GUGGUUGUGGCGCAGUUGGUUAGCGCGUCUGGUUGUGGCCCAGAAGGUCGCCGGUUCAAGUCCGGUCGACCACCCCA
rnacentral:tRNA from 1 species